AAGUCGUAACAAGGUUUCCGUAGGUGAACCUGCGGAAGGAUCAUUAACGAGUAACUGAACAGGUUGUAGCUGGCCUCUCGGGGCAUGUGCACACCUGGCUCAUCCACUCUUCAACCACUGUGCACUUAUUGUAGGUCGGCAGAAGGGCGAGUCUAACAGCUCGCUCGGAAGCCUUCCUAUGUUUUAUUACAAACGCUUCAGUUUAAGAAUGUAAACCUGCGUAUAACGCAACUAUAUACAACUUUCAGCAACGGAUCUCUUGGCUCUC
rnacentral:misc_RNA from 2 species